rnacentral:misc_RNA from 1 species
GAGAGAGAGAUGCAAUGUAGGCAAUCGAUUGAUGAGUGGCAUCACUGGCAUGCAUGGGGAAGUAGGCAUAUAUGGAUGGUGAGGCUCAACAUUUCAAGAAAUUUCAAGUCCUUUGAAACUUGUACUCGUGCAUUUAACAAAGAUAUGCAAAUUGAAACCACAAAUAUAUAUCCUUUUUGUUUUUUUGAUGAAAGUAUAUAUCCUAUUAUGGAUGAAGGAAAAUGAAAUCAAUUCAGAAUAUCAGAUAUUUUUGUAGAUUAUUCGUCAUCAUGAUCAAGAGUCAGAGCCUCAGUGUUCUGCAACUAAAUGAUAGCAUGCUUCAUGAAAAUAGUAUCACGGGUUUUCUCAGCCAUGAAAACCCAAAAAAGCAAUUAAGAUCUUUUACCCUUCACUUUUUCUUGGACAAGCAGAGAUAUUCAUCAUUGUUUUUGAGACU